rnacentral:rRNA from 1 species
CUAGCCUCAGGAUAGUUUAGCGGAGGUAAAGCACUGAAUGGGCUAGGGGGCUUCACGGCUUACCGAACCCUAUCAAACUCUGAAUGCCGCAUAAAUGUUUCCUGGGAGUCAGACUGCGUGAGAUAAGUUUCGUAGUCAAAAGGGAAAGAGCCCAGACCUACAGCUAAGGUCCCUAAAUGAAUUUAAGUGGAAAAGGAUGUGCAGUUGCGUAGACAACUAGGACGUUGGCUUAGAAGCAGCCACUCAUUUAAAGAGUGCGUAAUAGCUCACUAGUCGAGUGAUUGUGCGCCGAAAAUGUAACGGGGCUAAAAUUCAUACCGAAGCUUAGGAAUGAUAGUAAUAUUGUUGGUAGAUGAGCGUUGUGUAAGUCUGCGAAGCUACACCGAAAGGAGUAGUGGAGAUAUCACAAGUGAGAAUGCCGGAAUGAGUAGCGAGAAUUAUGUGAGAAUCAUAAUGGUCGAAAAUCUAAGGUUUCUUGAGGAAGGUUCGUCCGCUCAAGGUAAGCCGGGAGCUAAGGCGAGGCCGAGAGGCGUAGUCGAUGCACAUACGGUAAAGAUUCCGUAGCCACCGAAGUCGUUAAAUACAGGGACACAGGAACAUAGCCUAACCCCACCGUUGGUUGAGUGGGGCGUAAGGGAGCGAAAAUUAGUAGUGAAGUAGGUGAUUGUACACUGGCGAGAAAAGCUGUAUGGAUUGACAAGGUGCCCGUACCGCAAACCGACACAGGUAGAUGAGGAGAGAAUCCUAAGACCAGCGGGAGAAGUGUUGUUAAGGAACUCGGCAAAAUGACCCCGUAACUUCGGGAUAAGGGGAGCCUACGCGAGUAGGCCGCAGAGAAUAGUCUCAAGCGACUGUUUAGCAAAAACACAGGUCUAUGCUAAAUCGAAAGAUGAUGUAUAUGGGCUGACGCCUGCCCGGUGCUGGAAGGUUAAGGGGAAGUGUUAGAGCAAUCGAAGCACUGAACUUAAGCCCCAGUAAACGGCGGCCGUAACUAUAACGGUCCUAAGGUAGCGAAAUUCCUUGUCAGGUAAGUUCUGACCCGCACGAAUGGCGUAACGACUUGAGAGCUGUCUCAACAACAUACCCGGCGAAAUUGAAGUACUGGUGAAGAUGCCAGUUACCCGUGAUAAGACGGAAAGACCCCAUGGAGCUUUACUGUAGCUUGAUAUUGAAUUUUUGUAUUACAUGUACAGGAUAGGUGGGAGACAGAGAACUAAUGACGCCAGUUGUUAGGGAGUCGAUGUUGGGAUACCACUCUUGUAGUAUGAAGGUUCUAACCUGCACCCGUGAAUCCGGGUGGGGGACACUGUCAGGUGGACAGUUUGACUGGGGCGGUCGCCU